rnacentral:rRNA from 1 species
UGUAAGCGUAUACCAAAGUUGUUGCAGUUAAAACGCUCGUAGUCGGAAUUUGGCAGUUCCGGAAGUGUGCACGUCGUGUGCGCACUUUGCGGGGACUGCUUUUGUGGUCUUGCGUAGGAUGAGGCACUUUCAUUAGUGAACGUCCUCACGCAACCACUCUUUACUGUGAGAAAAUCAGAGUGCUCAAAGCAGGCAUUUGCCGUGAAUGUAUUAGCAUGGAAUAAUAGAAUAGGACUUGGUUCUAUUUUGUUGGUUUGUUGGGACUGAGUAAUGAUUAAGAGGGACAGUUGGGGGCAUUUGUAUUUCGGUGCUAGAGGUGAAAUUCUUAGAUUACCGAAAGACAAACUGCUGCGAAAGCGUCUGCCAAGGAUGUUUUCAUUGA